rnacentral:lncRNA from 1 species
UCCCGGGCAGCGCUUGGUCUGACCCUCUGUCUCUCCUCUAUGAACCUGCCUUCUAUUAGGUUUUUCGAUGUUCUUUGGGAAUAAACAUGGCCGAACAUGAACUCAGACGAAAGAGGAAAAAAAGAGCGUCGCUUUAUUCUUGAGAUCUUCUCGUUAAACUUGCAUCAGAUGGUGUUCUGGUUGCGUUCUGUAGUGAGGUUUUUUGAAUCGAGGGGCUCAAAAAAAUUGAAGAAACAUGAGAGCCCAUAAUUUUUUCAGUCACAUCGAGUGACCAUUCUUUGCCUGAACAUAUCUUUCUUGGUGGUUUUCUUCCUCUCCGUCAGGAAUCAAGGUGCUUGUGGCAGACAUGCUCAGCAUCCCCUUCGACGAUGAUUGCUUCGAUAUAGUGAUCGAGAAAGGAACAAUGGUGAGCUAGAUCUUCUCUGGAAGCUCGCAGCCGCGGUCGAUCAUCCGACCCAUAACUUCUCGGCGACGAUUUCAGACAUCGUUAUGAUAUUCAUUCCACUUACCUUUGGAUGUCAAGGAUGUGCUGUUCGUGGACAGCGGCGACCCGUGGAAUCCACGGCAGGAAACGGUGGACAAGGUGAAGGCCAUGCUGGAGGGUGUCCACAGAGUCCUCAAGCCAAGUGGGACCUUCAUCUCUAUUUCCUUUGGGCAGGUACCCAUGAAUUCCUGGCAAAAAUUCUCUUCCUGCUGAGGGCAUAAAUCAUGGUCUCGUUCCUCCCACAGCCGCAUUUCAGGCGCCGCUUCUUUGAAGACCCGGAGCUGACCUGGUCCUUUGAGUAUGAGACUUUCGGGGAGGAAUUCCAUUACUUCUUCUACGUCCUGAAGAAGGUUUGCGUCGAUGAUGUUCCACGGGUUUCACCAGCUUCCCGGACACUUGACAAAAAAGAAAAAAAUCUUUACCUCGGUCGCUCUUCUUCUCGUCAGAGUUCCGUGGCUUGAUGUGCUAAUUCAGAGCUGCUCGUGCUUCGUGGGUUCGAUUUCAGGGUCAGAGGGCGUCAGACGAAGCUAACCGGGACAGCGGCGAGAAGUUCCUUCAGCCGCCCAUUCAGU